rnacentral:lncRNA from 1 species
GGAGUGUGAGAUACCAGAUCUCCUCUUGAUGCCAAAGACCUCUUUAUAAAAAUUUUAGGAUGCCCAAAAUUGGUUUUGGCAUGGACUCUUUGGUGCCCUCUCCUCUCUUUGGAUGAAAACCCUAGCCCUAGUCUAUAAAAGGGAGGCUCCUCUCUUUGGCGUCACAUCUCAAGUUUCUUUGCUGGUUUUUAUUUUUCUAGAGCUUCUCCUUCUCUUUCUCUCUUCCUCCUCUAGAUCUUUUCAUCCUUUAGAGUGUCUAAGUCCCUUGAAGAAGAAGGAAGAAAUCAGCCUCCAAGUUUCCUUGCAAGCUAGCACUUCCAAGGAUUUUGAUCUGCACCGAUCUUCAUGUGGACUUCUUGUAGAGGUCAGACAACUUCGUGUGGCUACAAGCAAUCUGAAGGAGAGCCUCUCCAAGCAUUGGACUAGAAGAGAUCAAUAGAUUUCAGUUUGGUAAUAGUUUCUAAACUUUUCUUGAUCAUGUAUGUUAGAUCUAAUGGUUAGAUCUUCAUGGCAGCA